rnacentral:lncRNA from 1 species
UCAAUAUAGUUCUGAGUUCUUGAACUGUCAUGACCUCAAUUCUCUCGGGAUUAUCCUUUACACUCUGAAUUCCAGCUUCAUCGCUUUCUACACCAAUAUCCUACACAUCAAUUUACGGUUAAAAUUUUCCUUAAUUACUCCAAUUGUCUCACUAUCUUCUUGUACACUAACUAAUAUUGACAGUGACUCGAUACACAAACCCACAAGACAAUGAGGCAAGUUAAAACAAUCAGCAACAAAAAUCAAAACCAUGGCACACCUUUGGGGUCGAACCCACUAAUCUGUUCACCUUUUCAUCUUCCAUGUUAUCGAAAGACGAUGCCGGUUUGGAUGAACUUGCAAGAUGCCGUUUAGGCUUCAUAGCUCUGAAGGAGACAAAGGUUCCAAUUCUAAAAUUUCUUGGAGUAACUGCAAAGCUAAAGAAGAAAAGAGAUAUAUUAAAACAGACAAAAAUAAUUUCUUUAAUAUAAAAGAAAUGAUUUUAGACAGAAGCUUCACAGAUUUUGUACCCUCUGCCAGAGGUGGAGGCCUCAUAGUUCUAGGGUUAUAAGCAGUCCAUCCCUUUUGAGGCUUCUUAUGCGCAAGCAUUGUCCAAGGUUCACUUUGGACUGUUGGCAGAGUAACUGCACUAUCAUCAGUAGCCAUUUCACUAUUAAUAUACAUACCUAAUAUUAUUUACUUUUUAUCAAAAGGACCCUUCCUAGAAACAAUAACCAGGUGUCUAUGCUCCGGAUAAAACCGAAUGAACUAAGAUUAACGACCUAAAGAACAUGUAAGUUAGAGAAAGAAUGCAUUUUAAAUUAACAAAGGAUGCCAAAUGAAUAUUAAUGAAGCAAAAGUUCAAAAUAAUAAAGCAGUGAAAACUGUAUACAUAUAUUCUACUGUACCUGAAAUCUUAUCAGUUUUGACUGGGGCUUUAGCAUCAACUUCACCAGUUUCAUCACCAAUUGGUGAUUUUUUAGCCCUUCUCUUACUUUCUUGGAGUGCAGAAACUUCUGGAACAGAGUAAAUUUCUUGAGCAUGUUCCUCAUGAGAAAACUUCUUAGCCUUCCUCUCCCCUGAUAUACUUUUCGUAUUAGCCUUCCUUUUUACUGAUACACUUUCAGCAGAAAUGGAGGAUACCUCUUCUAUUUCCACAUGAGAACUACCACUUGCACAUCGAAGAAACUUCCAACCUUUAAAAAUAAGCAACAUAGCAUUGAACCAAAACUGAUUGAGAGAACAAGGACGAGGCGGAACAAAGGUAAAACAAACAAUUGAGAGUAACGAAAAUUCUUCUGCUCCAAUCUUAAUGGAAAUGACACGACGCUAUGCAAAAUACUGGAGAAUAUUGAAAUUUGAUUCUUUGGUAAAAAGAGUUUACCUUCCAUCUUCUUCUCCACAUAAACCUUCAAGGCAGAUACUGGAUCACGUUUAGAACCUUUAGCAGGGACCCCAAUACCCCUGAUGAUUAAGAAUGAAAUAAGUAUACUAACAAAAACUACAAAUAGAGGUGCAACAUGGUAUUCUGCCCAUCAACCAUCCACUCAAUUGAUUCAUUCUCCAAAUCAAUUUGAAGAACCGUCAUUGACCAUUCAAGACGAGGCACAAGAAAUGAAAGUAAUACAGAGAAGCCGACACCUAAACCAUUUCAAGUUAGUUACAUAUAUACUAGUUUGUCAUGAAGCUUCCAGAACAAAGCACCCCCCUCCAUAUCUCAGGCAACCUAAAUGAAACCCAAAAUCUGAAUGCACAUCAGACAUAGAUCGUGUGGUUUUUCUGAAAGUUAUAUAUUCAUGAUACAAAAUUUCAUGUCUUUCUGAAUAUUGAGCCUUUAAAACUUUGGCUUACCUCAAUAUAGUUCUGAGUUCUUGAACUGUCAUGACCUCAAUUCUCUCAGGAUUAUCCUUUAUACUCUGAAUUCUAGCUUCAUUGCUUUCUACUCCAAUAUCCUACACAUCAAUUUACAGUUAAAAUUUUCCUCAAUUACUCCAAUUGUCUCACUACUUCUUGUAUGCUAGUUAAUAUCAACAGUGACUCUAUACAUAGACCCACAAAACAAUGAAGCAAGUUAAAACUAUCAGCAACAAAAAUCAAAACCACGGCACAUGUUCGGGGUCGAACCCACUAAUCCGUUCACCUUUUCAUCUUCCAUGUUAUCGAAGGACGGUGCCGGUUUGGAUGAACUUGCAAGAUGUCGUUUAGGCUUCAUAGCUCUGAAGGAGACAAAGGUUCCAAUUCUAAAAUUUCUUGGAGUAACUGCAAAGCU